UUAGGAGUUAAACUUCAUCACCUGAACUUAGGCUUGAUAUAAGUGUCAGUGAACACAGAGCCAGCCUUAGAGAUCUGCUGUGGACUUGAAAAUACUAUACAGGAAUCCGAACAAAGUUUCAAACUCCUUGAUAUUCAUGAGAUGCAGAGGAAAUAUGCUGGGCUGGGUUAAUUCUUCUCUCAGACUGCAAAGACAAGUCAAUCAAGGACUUGCUGAUCCUGGUCCUUCCAGCUACAGGGAGAGGAGACACAUUCCUGAACUGCUUCUACUUAAAACAGCAGACAUCAAGAAUAGGACUCUCUGAAAGGGAUGGUGUUUUUCAUGUUGCCUUCUACUAAUUAGAAAGUGACCUGGAUAUUUUGCAGAGACAUGGAUAAGGGUUCAGGAGCAUUGGUUGGGGAAGAGCAGCUUCAACCAUGACUGCAACUACUGAGCAAGAAAGUUAUUUCAUUGACUUGAUUAGAAAUUGGACAGAAUAUGAUCUGCUAGUUAAAGGAAGGAAUACUGAAGUUUCCUUGCUGCCUGAAGGGAAGUCAUUUGCAAAAUCUGGUUACAUGCAUCUUUGGUAAUCAUAUUCAUCUAUGGUCUGAAGACAGAAGAAAAUAAGAAAAUACUUGC